GACGAACGCUGACGGCGUGCUUAACACAUGCAAGUCGAAGGGAGUGGCGAACGGGUGAGUAACACGUGAGUAACCUGCCCUUUUCUUUGGGAUAAGCCUGGGAAACUGGGUCUAAUACUGGAUGGAUUGGGAUGGGCUCGCGGCUUAUCGGCUUGUUGGUGGGGUGAUGGCUUACCAAGGCUUUGACGGGUAGCCGGCCUGCGAGGGGGGUCGGUCACACUGGGACUGAGAUACGGCCCAGACUCCUACGGGAGGCAGCAGUGGGGAAUCUUCCGCAAUGGACGAAAGUCUGACGGAGCAACGCCGCGUGAGUGAUGACGGCCUUCGGGUUGUAAAGCUCUGUUAAUCGGGACGACGUACCGGAAUAGAAAGCCACGGCUAACUACGUGCCAGCAGCCGCGGUAAUUC
rnacentral:rRNA from 1 species